rnacentral:lncRNA from 1 species
CUUUUUUUUUUUUUUUUUUUUGCUUUUUUGCUUAAUUAAUGGCACUGAUCUUACCUGGACUUUUAAACUUGAAUUUUUCCUGCACUUUAAUUCAAUCAUGAUAUUUUAUUCCUUAAUUUUGUUUCUGCAUUUGUGCAGUUCAGGUUCAUUAUUUGUAUAUAAACACAAGUUCAAUAAAGACUUUAGAACAGAUUACUUUCAGGCACCUUUGCUAAUUAUGUGAUUUAUUUAGAAUGUGUGUUUUCUUAGCAAAAUAUGUAUAUACGAUAUAGAAUCUAAUGAAAGGCACGUAUUCUGUGUCAGCAUUCAGUUUAUAAAUUACUGCAACACUUUCACAUUUGUUACUAGAUAAUACAAAAGAAAUCUGUUAUAUUUAUACAUACUGCUUAAGAAUAUACUUUUAGUUUUAAAUAAUUUUUAUAUGUACACUUCUACCUUUAAUUUUAAAAAUACUUACGUUCAAGUUUUAAGUCAAAGUACUUAAAGUAUGUAUAUUAUCCAUAGAAGUUGUUUUAAGCUUAUGAAUACAUUCAUAUCUCAUAUCGAGAUGAUACAAUUACUAAGCAAUUAAAACAAAUAGCCCAUUUUGCUUUGCAGAAAAUAAUGAGUUAUUUUUACCUCCCAUUAUGAACAUCCUUGAACAAUUCUCCAAGUAUGAAGGAAGAAGAUAGGGAACUAGCCUAAUAUUAACAUUUUCUCAAUAGCUGCAGUCCAUGGCUGACUGGUUUUCUAUGGUUUGGGUUUUUUUCUGGUACACACAAGAGACUUUUUUCAGCUCUAUUUCUUGGACUUUUAAAAUUCUCCAAAACUGAAGUGAGGUUUGUCCAAUAAACAUUUUCUUUGAGUAAUCUGUGUAGUUUGAUUAUGCAUCAACUCUUCACGCAUAAAUCAGGGUUGGUUUUUAUGUGGGUUUGUUCUGUUGGGGUUUUUUGUGUCUGAAACAUGUGUUGGAAAACUUAAGAGUCUGUGGCUUGAAGUGCCCUCUACUUUCUGCUUGUGGUUUAACAUGUCUGGGCCGGCACCGACUGCAGAAUCUGGUGUGGGAGGGAAGGACUGCGGUGCCUUGCCUCCCUCUCUAGGUAGAAGGGCAACUUGUCACUUGAAUCUUCUCUCAUGCCAGCCAAUUUCCUGGGUAAUUGAUUUGAGUCUUUUUGGGUGGAUGUUGAUAACUUUGCUACUACCACAAAAUCUUCAAAUAAUCUGUAGACAGAACUUAAUGAUGCAUGAGGGGUGGAAGUGAAUCAGUUAAACCAGUUUUACCUCUGUUUUCAUUGAAAAGCUGACCUGGGCCAAUUUCUUCUUCUUAAGCCCAUUAUAAAGAUGUGCUGUAUAUCUACCUUAUUACUGUUUUAAGUCCAAUGAGUGUACUGUUUCUGGGUUCUUCUACACCUUGUAAAGUUUACACUUAAAGAUGUAGACAUGAAUUUUUAAAAAGUGGAAAAAAAGGAAAAAGAUAAAUGAGGCAGAAACACCAAACAAUCAAAUGAAAGAUGUCAAUCAGUAUUUCUUUCAGUAGUUCCAUGUGCGCCUAGAAACGUUUAAGCUAACCUACAGCUGCAGGUUAGUUUGAUGCUUUUAUUUCUUUCUGUUAGUACCUAAGUUCUAUAUUACCAGGCAAAUAACUAGAAGUUAAACUGUUUCAGUUGAAAACAUGUAAGAAGUUGUAUGUGGAUUACCACUACCAUUCAGUCAUAGGUGAUGGAAAGGGAGAGGGGUGGGAACAUGUUUUAAAUAUUCCCUUUUAAAACAGAAUUGUAAAUAAGCAGUACUGUGUUAUUUUAGACCUGAGCUCUGCUAUCUGUAGUGGUUAGAACUAGGAAAACAUGCUGCUUUCUAGUUAUGCUGCUGUUUCAUUGUACCAGCACCAUGGGGGAAAAUAAAUACAUCCGUAAAUUUUUCUAACAUUGCCCACACCUGGGUAAGCAUGCUUGAUGUGUAGCAGUUCUCGUUUCUGUAUAUGUUAGUGUGUACGUGUGUGUUUUCUUUUUCCCUUAUGUUCAUUGCAACUUAUUCUUCAGUUAAGUCUUGCUGAGCCCCACUAGCUCUUCUGAGGAUGAUUACUGGAAUAUGCAUUUUUAGGUAGGGUUGCAAAUCCAUCUGUCUACAAAUAUAGUUUCAUAUGAACUGCAAAUUGUACUGUUACAAACUCGACUAUGUUAGAUUGCAUAGAGUUAUUUUACUUACAUGUACUUGGACUGAACUAUGUCAUCAUAAUGAAGUUAAAAAAUUAAGUAUGGAAUAUUUUUGUAAAUAAAAAUACCUGUGCAGCUGGUAUUUUAAACUUAAAAUGUAUUAUACAUUAAUGUUUCAGAAAAAAAUGUUCAUAUAUGUGUAUAUGAAUGUGUCAUUAUGCUGAAGGGCUCUUGAUCGGGCAAAAUAAACUA